GCUUUUUUGUCUGUUUUUUUUUCCUGUCACCUCCUUAUUUCACAGAUUCGCCACGCCAUUUCUGGUGGUAUCACUUAAUCUGCUGGCUAAUGAGCGCUGCUGGCAUAAUUUGCAUCCUUGUUGCUCAUGAACACUACACCGUGGAUGUCAUCAUUGCUUACUAUAUCACCACGCGGCUUUUCUGGUGGUAUCACUCAAUGGCUAAUGAAAAGACUUUAAAGGUCUCUUCGCAGACAAACUUUCUCUCUCGAGCCUGGUGGUAUCCAAUAUUUUAUUUCUUUGAGAAGAACGUGCAAGGCUCUGUUCCUUGUAGCUUUUCUUGGCCGAUAUCUUGGCCUCCCAGCUGCUUCAAGUCUUCAUGCAAAAAGUAUUCACGGGUUCAGAAGACAGGAGAGGACAAUGAAAAAUCUACCUGAAGAAAAGAAGGAAAGCAUCUGCUCUGUGGUCUUGGUUUUUUUCUUUUUCUUUUUUUACCAAAACAUUAAUGCUGUAACCAAAGUUCUUAAGAGGACUACACUGUAACUGAAGAAGUGGACCAAGCUUCUGUGCAAUUGAUUGGAAAGACAAUUAUAGACACACGUAUUGCCAUUUCAUAUGUUUUUCUAUCAUCAGGCUGUACAGACCUAUUCUACUCUUCAGUGCUCAUGGAAUGCACCACUGAUGGGAUUUAUUUUCUUUUUUUAUUAAAAGGAAAAAAAAAAUGGAGCAGGACUUUGCUUUACUAAUGAGAUAGAGGUGCCAAAGACCACAUUAACACUUUCAUUACUAACUAUCACUCAUGCACAGGAGCACCCAAAAAUCUCAUCUUCAGAGUUCUGGAGUGCAUAAGGGCAAAACCAUGCUAAAAUGUAAAGGCACGAUAUUGGCAUAUUGAGGUAUAUAUAAAAAAAAAAAAAUUGUGGGAAGUGGUUUGUUGCAUUAUUCUUGCUAAUGAAGGUAAGGCCUUUGCGUGACUGGUACAGCUGGAAGUGAGACUUGACUUUUUUUACACUCUGUGGGUAUGAAUAUCUUAAGGACCCUAAAAUACUACUUGCCACCAUUAUCUCCCAUAUAUUCUGCUAUAUACCAAUUUUUACUUUUUUUAUUAGUAAUUUUAUAUUUAAACUGUUGUGCUACCUGAUGACUUUGCAAAUUAGGAAUAGCUGCUAACAUCAGAGCUCAAGGAGCCUAAAAUUUUAUUUUUAAAGAGACACAGUUUCAAAGUCUAAAUCUUUAAUUGCAGUUUGGCCUUGUGUAUAUAGCUAUACAGUGCCUAUUGGUGUAUGUACAUGCAUAUACAGACAAAAGCACACACUGCUCUUCAGUAUGUGUUUAACUACACCAAACUACUUGCUGGAAAGAGUGAUCAUACAGUUCUUAAUUCAGGCAAAAGUCCUUACAGAUCUCACCUGCUUCAGGAAUGCAAGGUCAGGUCCAAAAUGGGGCUAUAUUUAAAAUAAACUUUUAAUUUUAGUAGCUAUCUCUUGCUGAAACUAUGUAGCAAGUUUGCUGGGGAGCCAUAGUUCUGCAUUGAAACGUUUUUUUUACUUGUUGGUACACAUUUCUGUGACUUAAAAAAAAAAAAAAACAAACCCAAAAAGUGCCAAGGUGAAUACCUUCAACAGUAGCAUUUCUUCAAUUAUUACCUAAAACCAUUUCAUAUUAAAUGACACUGUGGUAAAACUC